CUCAGACUUUUUGCUGAGAAAUACAACACUGCAGGAGUUCCACAUGGACAGUGGGAUCAAGUGCACUCUCAGCAAGUUUGCAGAUGACACCAAGGUGAAUGGUGCAGUUGACAUGCUAGAAGGAAAGGAUGUUAUCCAGAGGGACCUGGACAGGCUUGAGAGGUGGGCCCAUACCAAUCUCAUUAAAUUCAGCAGGGCCAAGUGCAAGAUCCUGCACCUGAAUGGGGGGCAAUCCCAAGCACAAAUACAGAUUGUGUGGAGAAUGGUUUGAGAGUAGCCCUGAGGAAAAGGGCUUGGGAGUGUUGGCUGAUGAAAGACUCAACAUGAGCUGGCAAUGUGCUCUUGUGGGGUUGCAUCAAGAGAAGUGUGGCCAGUAGGUCAAAGGAGGUGAUUCUGCCCCUCUGCUCUCAUGAGACCUUAACUGGAGCACUGCAUCCUAUUAUGAGGCCCCCAGCAUGAGAAGGACAUGGAGUUCUUGCAGUAGGUCCAGAAGAGGGCCAAGAAGAUGAUCAGAAGGAUAGAGCACCUCCCCUAUGAGGACAGGGAAAAGAGAUUGCUUCCUCUCCGUGGUUCACUCAGUAUCAAGAGAGUCUAAAGACUGAAAGAGACCAAGGAGUCUGAAUUUGAUGCUCUCAUGAUCAAGUGAGGGAUUUACAAGUAGCAACAGUGCAGAACUGCUGUGCCAAGGUGUGGGGCCAAGGAUCUAGCAGAGAUCCACCUCUGCCUCUUCUCACCAAGUUCCUCUGCAAGUUCAGGCCUAACCACGUGGGGAAGCACCUGUGAUCCUCUUGGGCGUUGGCUCCAGUGCUCCGUGCUUUGGAAUGGGCACCUUUCAUUUCUGAAAACAGCUUUCUAGCCCUAAUUUGUCUGCGAUCAACAUACCACAACACCAAUCAGUCCUGUGGCACAAAUGGAAGUAAAUUAUUACCUUGUUCACCGUACAGAAAGUAAGGAACUGAACUUCAUGACUGGUAAGGAAGAUCUGCCAAGACUGUGGGCUUGACCGUGUGCUUGUAGUUUGAAAUGGUGCCAGCUAAGUGCAUCUUCUGCACAUCUUCUAAAAGAAGCUUUUUGCUAAAUCUAAAGGAGUAUUGGGCAACAUGGAUCUAUUGAGCUUGGUCUUUACAAAGCAAUGUGGACAGCUAAACUGGAAAAAA
ensembl:lncRNA